rnacentral:rRNA from 1 species
AGUGGGGAAUAUUGGACAAUGGGCGAAAGCCUGAUCCAGCCAUGCCGCGUGUGUGAAGAGGGCUUUCGGGUUGUAAAGCACUUUCAGUGGGGAAGAAAUCCUCGGGGCCAAUACCCUCGAGGGAGGACAUCACCCACAGAAGAAGCACCGGCUAACUCCGUGCCAGCAGCCGCGGUAAUACGGAGGGUGCGAGCGUUAAUCGGAAUUACUGGGCGUAAAGCGCGCGUAGGCGGCGUGAUAAGCCGGUUGUGAAAGCCCCGGGCUCAACCUGGGAACGGCAUCCGGAACUGUCAGGCUAGAGUGCAGGAGAGGAAGGUAGAAUUCCCGGUGUAGCGGUGAAAUGCGUAGAGAUCGGGAGGAAUACCAGUGGCGAAGGCGGCCUUCUGGACUGACACUGACGCUGAGGUGCGAAAGCGUGGGUAGCAAACAGGAUUAGAUACCCUGGUAGUCCACGCCGUAAACGAUGUCGACUAGCCGUUGGGGUCCUUGUGACCUUUGUGGCGCAGUUAACGCGAUAAGUCGACCGCCUGGGGAGUACGGCCGCAAGGUUA